GAACCAGUGCCUGUACCAUACAAGACUGAGAUGCUGCUAAUGGGUGGUUCUUCUGACCGGAUGGUGGAUGUCCAACCUGUCCUGGAUGGGGUUGCACUCCCCCUGAAGGAGCAGGCCAAUGCUCCAGUCUAUCAAGAUCCCUUUGAAUUUUGUUUCUGUCUUCCAUGGUAUUAGCUAUCCCUCCCAAUUUGUAUCAUCUGCAAGUUUGGUGCUUCCAGAUGUCCUGUUUAUCGAGCAUGCCUCCUGAUUUGUUUGCAGAGAGAUUAGACAACGUUAGCUACUUCAAGCCUUCUAAGCAGAUAUCUUUAUUCCAAAUGGUGUCUGGAUUUGGAUUUGAAUUGGUUUUACAUAU